UGGGGAAUAUUGCACAAUGGGGGAAACCCUGAUGCAGCGACGCCGCGUGAGCGAAGAAGGUUUUCGAAUCGUAAAGCUCUGUCCUAUGGGAAGAUAAUGACGGUACCAUAGGAGGAAGCCCCGGCUAACUACGUGCCAGCAGCCGCGGUAAUACGUAGGGGGCAAGCGUUGUCCGGAAUCACUGGGCGUAAAGGGUUCGCAGGCGGAAAUGCAAGUCAGUUGUGAAAGGCAGAGGCUCAACCUCUGUAAGCAAUUGAAACUGUAUAUCUUGAGAUGUGGAGAGGCAAGUGGAAUUCCUAGUGUAGCGGUGAAAUGCGUAGAUAUUAGGAAGAAUACCGGUGGCGAAGGCGACUUGCUGGACACAAACUGACGCUGAGGAACGAAAGCGUGGGUAGCAAACAGG
rnacentral:rRNA from 1 species